GAUCCAGUAGUGAAACGGUAUCAUACGCGCUUGCCAAGCAAGCAACCCUGCGCGUGGCCCGAGUUCGACUCUCGGCUGGUUCA
rfam:Rachicladosporium sp. CCFEE 5018 unplaced genomic scaffold Supercontig_19, whole genome shotgun sequence.